UACGUAGGGUCCGAGCGUUGUCCGGAAUUACUGGGCGUAAAGAGCUUGUAGGCGGUUCGUCGCGUCGUUUGCGAAAACUUGGGGCUCAACCUUAAGCUUGCAGGCGAUACGGGCGGACUAGAGUACUUCAGGGGAGACUGGAAUUCCUGGUGUAGCGGUGAAAUGCGCAGAUAUCAGGAGGAACACCGGUGGCGAAGGCGGGUCUCUGGGAAGUAACUGACGCUGAGAAGCGAAAGCACGGGUAGCAAACAGG
rnacentral:rRNA from 1 species